rnacentral:lncRNA from 1 species
UUCUUAUUUUCGAUUAGAGUUGACCGUUUCGAUCGAGCCCUUAACGUUGUCGAAUCCAGUUGAAUUUUUUACCAUAGACAUCUUUCGUCAUAAUGAUCAUAUCUGACGGUCGAAUUUUUGUUUGUAAAUUUUAGUCAUCAGAAUCACGACGUGUCUACUAUUUACCGUUAUUAUUUCUUAUGGGGAGCCCUAUCGUCGGAAGGUAAAUGUCUCAAAAUUUUUAUAUGGGCAGUUGCGCCUCAUCUACGUGAGAGUUUUUUGUGUGGAAAGUUUGACCAAACCACGUAAUAUAGAGGGAGAUAUGAGCGUUUUCUUGUGAUAAGUGACGAUGGAUUAGGGUUAACCGUUUCGAUCGAGUCCUUAACGUUGUCGGAUCCAGUUAAAUUUUUUACCAUAGACAUCUUUCGUCAUAAUGAUCAUAUCUGACGGUCGAAUUUUGGUUUGUGAAUUUUAGUCAUCGGAAUCACAACGUGUCUACUAAAGUUGUAUAACUUGUUUAGUUGGUUAUACAACUUUGUGAACCAACUCUAUAUAGGAAGCAAAAUUAUCAAAAAUCUCGUGAAAUAAGAUGUGUUCAGAAUGGUGAAAUACGGCUAUGGUUCAAAAAUCACGUAAAUCGGGUAAAGUCUCGGUGCCGAUAGUAGCGGUCAACCCUAUUUACCGUUAUUAUUCCCUAUGGGGAGCCCUAUCGUCGGAAGGCAAAUGUCUCAAAAUUUUUAUAUAGGCGGUUGCGUCUCAUUUACGUGAAAGUUUUUCGUGUGGAAGGUUUGACCAAACUACGUAAUAUAGAGGGAGAUAUGAGCGUUUUCGUGAAUUUAUAGACUUUAGCCGACGAGAUAUUAAAAAAGUCGUCGGCUAAGGUCAGAAUUUUUUUGGCAGUAAACCAAAUUUGGAGGAAAAUUGUCAAAUGACUUUAGCCGACAAAAAUAUAUGAAAAGUCGUCGGCUAAAGUCGAAAAAUUUUCAAAAUUUUUUAAAAAUUUCAACCAAAAUUUUUUGGCGGUCAACCAAAAUUUUCAAAAGAGUUUAGCCAACGAAAAUAAAUAAUUUCAUAGGGGUAAAGUUCUUUAUAUAGGAGUUUUACUGGAGAUGGAUAGUAAGAAGUAAAAAAAUCAGAAAAAGUUCUGGAUUUUCUUCUCGGCCUAGCUCCGCCGUCAAGCCACCGGAGACCGCCACACUUGUCCCAAAAACUUCGCCGUCGUCUCUACUUCAUUGCUGGACAGGUGAUGCAUUGAGUGGCGCCGCCGUGAGGGAUAAAUCGAGCUCUAAAACUCCGCCGGUUCGGAUUCGGUGUCGAUCGAAUUUCUCCUUCCUCAGGUCACCAUUUGGUGAGUUCUAUAUAUGGAUAAGUUGAGUUUGAUUAGUACUACAUUCCCCUAGACUUUAGCCGACGAAUAUCUUGAUUGUUUCGUCGACUAAAGUCUGGGAAAAAAAUCGACGACAUGUUUUUCGUCGGCUAAACUGCGGGACUAUAGCCGACGAAAUUUUUUUUUUCGUCGGCUAAAGUCAUCACAGACAACCUUUUCCCGAUGAAAUCUUAGCCGACGAUGGCUCGUCGGCUAGUCGGCUAAGAUCUUAGCCGACAAAUUAAACUAACAGGCCGACGAAAAUUUUUCGUCGGCUAAAGUGCUUGUCCUGAUAGUGAAGUAUUAUGAUAUGUACAAGUGUACAUCAAAUGAAUUUAGUUUUUAAAAAAAAAAUAAAAAAAAAAAAGAAUUUAGUUUUAAACAUAGGGUAGUCGACUAAUUUAGCAUAUAUAAACAGAAGAAUUUAGUUUUAGAAUAAAUUUGGUUUUUUUUUUAAAAAAAAUAAUUUAGUUUUAAACAUAGAGGUAGCUAGUCGACUAAUUAAUUCAGCAUAAACAGAAGAAUAAUCAAUCUAUGGAUAUAUAGUACCACUAAUUAAUCUACUUAAUUGUAAUUCGAACUAGUCGAUCUAUAUAUAAACAUAUACAUUUAGGUCGUAUGUGGUACGAAUACAUAUAUACUCGCCAAUUACAGGAAUAGACAAUUAUGUCAAGUGUCAACUUAGGCGGUGACCUAACCUCGCAUAUAUAGUUGGACUUGUUCUAGCUAGUUGUUGUUCUUUGGUUUCUGUUCUGCAGCAAGGUCUUGAACUGACGACGAGUUCGUUCAUACGUAAACCAUCAUCCAUCCUAAUUUCUUCACAGUUUAUUUUGUCUACAAGUUAUUCCAGGAAUUAAUCCACCACUUGCCGAUCAUUUUGUCUAGCGGCGCGGCCACUAAGUCGUGUAUGCAUUUAUACCAAUUAUAAGGAAACUUCUACAUAUAUUCCAUUUAUAACAAAGCAGGUGGACUAUAUAUAUACACACACAUACACACCUCAUAUGGGUUAUUAGUUUGACUUCAAAUGAAUGCCCUAGCUAGCUAGGGUACGUAUAAUGUAUUUGGUAAUUCUCAGAUAAUUGGUAUUUCAUUCAUAGGUCCUUUCGUUCAUUUUGUUUUGUGUUCUUCUUUUUUCGUUGUUAUUAUGAUCUUACAAACAACUCAAUCAAAACGGUCACCAUGCAUGUAAUAAAUUUGCGGCUUUCGAUUUCGGAAAAGGAUCGGAUCGUAAACAUUACACAUGUGUAGGUAGGAAGAUAAAUGAUGGGGAAGGAAAC